GGCCUUGUAGCUUAAUUGGAUAAAGCAUCUGACUACGGAUCAGAAGAGUAAGGGUUCAACUCCUUUCAAGGUCU
rnacentral:tRNA from 2 species